UACGUAGGGAGCAAGCGUUGUCCGGAAUCAUUGGGCGUAAAGCGCGCGUAGGUGGCCCAAUAAGUCCGCUGUGAAAGUCAAAGGCUCAACCUUUGAAAGCCGGUGGAUACUGUGGGACUAGAGUACGGAAGAGGCGAGUGGAAUUCCUGGUGUAGCGGUGGAAUGCGCAGAUAUCAGGAGGAACACCAAUAGCGAAGGCAGCUCGCUGGGACGUUACUGACACUGAGGCGCGAAAGCGUGGGGAGCGAACAGG
rnacentral:rRNA from 1 species